rnacentral:rRNA from 1 species
AUAUCAAUAAGCGGAGGAAAAGAAACCAACAGGGAUUGCCUCAGUAGCGGCGAGUGAAGCGGCAAGAGCUCAGAUUUGAAAUCCGGUGCGGUUCCCGUGCCCGAGUUGUAAUCUGGAGAGGAUGUUCCGGCGAGGUCGGCCGCCCAAGUUCCUUGGAACAGGACGUCUCAGAGGGUGAGAACCCGUACCCGGCGGUUCGGCCAAGCCAUGUGGAACUCCUUCGACGAGUCGAGUUGUUUGGGAAUGCAGCUCAAACUGGGUGGUAAAUUCCAUCUAAAGCUAAAUACCGGCGGGAGACCGAUAGCGCACAAGUAGAGUGAUCGAAAGAUGAAAAGCACUUUGAAAAGAGAGUUAAAAAGUAC